rnacentral:rRNA from 1 species
UACGAAGGGGACUAGCGUUGUUCGGAAUCACUGGGCGUAAAGCGCACGUAGGCGGAUAUGUCAGUCAGGGGUGAAAUCCCGGGGCUUAACCUCGGAACUGCCUUUGAUACAGCAUAUCUUGAGUCCGAUAGAGGUGGGUGGAAUUCCUAGUGUAGAGGUGAAAUUCGUAGAUAUUAGGAAGAACACCGGUGGCGAAGGCGGCCCACUGGAUCGGUACUGACGCUGAGAUGCGAAAGCGUGGGGAGCAAACAGG